rnacentral:rRNA from 1 species
UAGCAUAUCAAUAAGCGGAGGAAAAGAAACCAACAGGGAUUGCCUCAGUAACGGCGAGUGAAGCGGCAACAGCUCAAAUUUGAAAUCUGGCCUCUUUGGGGUCCGAGUUGUAAUUUGUAGAGGAUGUUUCGGGUACCGCCUCGGUUUAAAUUUCUUGGAACAGAAUGUCAGAGAGGGUGAGAAUCCCGUCUUGGACCGGCGGUAGGGCCCAUGUGAAACUCCUUCGACGAGUCGAGUUGUUUGGGAAUGCAGCUCAAAAUGGGUGGUAAAUUUCAUCUAAAGCUAAAUAUUGGCCAGAGACCGAUAGCGCACAAGUAGAGUGAUCGAAAGAUGAAAAGAACUUUGAAAAGAGAGUUAAACAGUAUGUGAAAUUGUUGAAAGGGAAGCGCUUGCAACCAGACUUGAGCGCGGCGGUUCCCCCUUCCUUUUGGUUGGGUUACUCCGCCGUGUCCAGGCCAACAUCGGUUCUGGGGGUCGGUUAAAGGCCCGGGGAAUGUACCUACUCCUUCGGGGGUAGACUUAUAGCCCCGGGUGUCAUGCGACCACCCGGGACCGAGGAACGCGCUUCGGCUCGGAUGUUGGCGUAAUGGUUGUCAGCGACCCGUCUUGAAACACGGACCAAGGAGUCUAACAUCUAUGCGAGUGUUUGGGUGUCAAACCCGGAACGCGAAAUGAAAGUGAACGGAGGUAGGAAGCCUUUGGGCUGCACUAUCGACCGAUCCUGAUGUCUUCGGAUGGAUUUGAGUAAGAGCAUAGCUGUUGGGACCCGAAAGAUGGUGAACUAUGCCUGAAUAGGGUGAAGCCAGAGGAAACUCUGGUGGAGGCUCGCAGCGGUUCUGACGUGCAAAUCGAUCGUCAAAUUUGGGUAUAGGGGCGAAAGACUAAUCGAACCAUCUGGUAGCUGGUUCCUGCCGAA